UAAAGCUGUGCUCCUAGAGAGCUGGGGGGCUGUUCUCUCACCCACAGGUUUCUGGAGAGACAGUCCCGGCUGGUUGGAAUUACAAGCUUGCUUUAAUUUAUUUUAAAUUGGAGUUGGGGGUCUUUCCGUGGUGGUUUAAGGAUGGCAGAAUCAAACCCAGGGGGCCCUUCAGAACCCUGAAGCCCUCUUACUCCACCCCCAGAAGACCUCAACAGUCCUCCCUGGGCACACCCCUGAGCCUCCAGCCCCAGGGCAGAGCAGCCCAAGCCAAGGUCACAGCCUAGGCCUGCAGCCUGCAACUUGAAGAGUGGAGUGUGUCCUUGGGGGACCUGGUAGGAGGCUGGGGGCUCCCCAGGAUGGAGUAGCAGUGACUGGAGUGGGCUCAGAGCCAUUGGUGUCGAGUGGGACUAUUUUGAUCCUCAGCAAAGAGCAGGUGGAGAAGCUGGAGGAGCACUUCCUGAAGGACCCCUUUCCAUCCCACAGUACCCUGGUGGCCCUGGACUCCUGCCUCGGCCUAGAGGAGAAACAAGUGCGACACGUGCAGGAUUGGUUUACUGUGGAACGUAAGAUAAAGCAUAAACGAGGCUAUCAUCUGUAUGCACGAGGCUAUCAUCCAUAUGCAGGACACUUGCGUCGGCCCUCACACUCAUCCUGUGCCCACUCAUCCUGGGCAGGCCCAUCCUGGUCCAAAUUCUGUUGUAUAUGCCCAUCCUGCCAAGAUAACCACUCUCCCAGCUCCAGAAGACCCAGAAGGUUCUCUAUUCGGGUCCAGGCCUGUGGGAACCUCCGGGGUGGUUCCCAGCAGAGUUCCUGGCCCAUGAGGGGAGAGGAAAAGGAACUAGAAGCCAUCUUGAAGAGACUCUCCACUGCAGAGCCUGAGGAAGGUGACCUUGAAGACACAGACAAAUCAGGUCCAGGAGAUUUCUGAGUGGAUGGGGGUUCUGCACCUGCCCCAUUCCACAGGUCCCACAGGUCCUGUCUCUGGCUACCAUUCAUCACCUGUCAUUUGAGUCACCUGGGAGUGUCUGGGUCUCCAGUCUGAGUGGAAUGGGUGUUCCUGGGUGCACUUCCUUCCCUUGAUGCUGCCCCCGCCCCUGGCCAAUGUUAUCACUAUCUUUCCUCGUUUAUGGGGGUCUUGGUCUGCAGCCCAGUGCAGCGGUUGCCUGCAUCUCCAGGAAUGAAGGACCUCUGCUCUCCCACAAGGAUUUCCCCACAGUCUCUGCUGAGCCACACCCACAUCAGAUCCCCACCCCCAGCUGCCUCUUUUAGAGUCCAUAUCCAAUCCAUUUCCAUCAUUUUGAAAUAGUUUGGAGCUUUGUCUUAAUUUAGGUAUUUUUUCCCUCUUAUUUCCUUUUGGUCUUUGCUUUGUUACUUGUUUGAGGUUAUUUUUCUGCUGAUUUUCCUCAAUUUUCAAUAAAGUUUCUUUUG